AAGGCUAAUGAAACACCACUCUUUUAUUUUAAGAGAGCUAACCUUUAGGGACAAUGCGAGUUUGAUAGUUUGGUUGGGGCGACCACCUUUUAAAAGGUAACGAAGGCGAGCUUAAGGUCCGUAGUUAAUAACAAGUGGCCUGACUGAGAGGGGGACACCCCGAACAGACACUGAUGUUCAGUGGGCUAUAAUGACCCGUCGUUUUAGAGUGUAAUAGGCGACGAUCAACGGAUAAAAGCUACCAUGGGGAUAACAGCGUUAUAUCGUUAGAGAGUUUAAUCGACAACGAUGUUUGCGACCUCGAUGUUGAAUUGCGGCACCCUGGGGUGCAGCCGCCCCCAAGGGUUGGUCUGUUCGUCCAUUAAAGCCGUACAUGAUUUGAGUUAAAAACGUGGCAACACAGUUUGGUUUCUAUCUACAAUAUGAAGAAACAUCGAUAGAACUAUCUUCUAGUACGAAAGGACCGAAGAAUUAGCGAUCCUCUUAUUUUGUAAGUUACGAUCGAACCCAAGUUAAUCACUGAUUGCUUCUUAAGUGUGAAAAGUUUAUCGAAUUGUUUUAAACAUACGUUUAAAAAUAAGUAAAUGAAAUCUACUGUUUAUCACCCCUAUCAUUUAGUAGAUCCUAGCCCU
rnacentral:ncRNA from 1 species